AGGGGUAUAGCUCAGUGGUAGAGCAUUUGACUGCAAAUCAGAAAGCCCCAGUCACCAGGCAAAAAAUGUAGAUUAAUUGCUGUUG
rnacentral:tRNA from 1 species